rnacentral:rRNA from 1 species
AGGACACGCUGGCGGCGUGCUUAACACAUGCAAGUCGAACGGUGAACCAGAGCUUGCUCUGGGGAUCAGUGGCGAACGGGUGAGUAACACGUGGGCAACCUGCCCCAGACUCUGGGAUAACCUCGGGAAACCGAUGCUAAUACCGGAUACGACCACUUCGGACAUCCGACGGUGGUGGAAAGUUUUUCGGUCUGGGAUGGGCCCGCGGCCUAUCAGCUAGUUGGUGGGGUAAUGGCCUACCAAGGCGACGACGGGUAGCCGGCCUGAGAGGGCGACCGGCCACACUGGAACUGAGACACGGUCCAGACUCCUACGGGAGGCAGCAGUGGGGAAUAUUGCACAAUGGGCGAAAGCCUGAUGCAGCGACGCCGCGUGAGGGACGACGGCCUUCGGGUUGUAAACCUCUUUCAGCAGGGACGAAGCGAAAGUGACUGUACCUGCAGAAGAAGCACCGGCUAACUACGUG